rnacentral:rRNA from 1 species
UAUUAUAUUAUCAACAUCCUUCCUAUUAUAUUCUAAAUAUAUAGGAAAUUUUACUUUGAGAAAAUUAGAGUGCUUAAAGCAGGCAACUGCCUUGAAUACUCCAGCAUGGAAUAAUAAGUAAGGACUUUUGUCUUUCUUAUUGGUUCUAGGACAAAAGUAAUGGUUAAUAGGGACAGUUGGGGGCAUUCGUAUUUAACAGCCAGAGGUGAAAUUCUUAGAUUUGUUAAAGACGAACUACUGCGAAAGCAUUUGCCAAGGAUGUUUUCAUUAAUCAAGAACGAAAGUUAGGGGAUCGAAGACGAUCAGAUACCGUCGUAGUC